UACGUAGGGUGCGAGCGUUAAUCGGAAUUACUGGGCGUAAAGCGUGCGCAGGCGGUUUUGUAAGUUUGGCGUGAAAUCCCCGGGCUCAACCUGGGAAUUGCGUUGGAGACUGCAAGGCUGGAGUCUGGCAGAGGGGGGUAGAAUUCCGCGUGUAGCAGUGAAAUGCGUAGAGAUGUGGAGGAACACCGAUGGCGAAGGCAGCCACCUGGGUCAAGACUGACGCUCAUGCACGAAAGCGUGGGGAGCAAACAGG
rnacentral:rRNA from 1 species